rfam:Oryza barthii chromosome 7, whole genome shotgun sequence.
AUAGUUUAAUUGGUUGAAACGUACCGCUCAUAACGGUGAUAUUGUAGGUUCGAACCCGGCU